rnacentral:rRNA from 1 species
UAGGGAAUCUUCCGCAAUGGACGCAAGUCUGACGGAGCAACGCCGCGUGAGUGAAGAAGGAUUUCGGUUCGUAAAACUCUGUUGUUAGAGAUGAACAGCGCAUAGAGUAACUGUUAUGCGUGUGACGGUAUCUAACCAGAAAGCCACGGCUAACUACGUGCCAGCAGCCGCGGUAAUACGUAGGUGGCAAGCGUUGUCCGGAUUUAUUGGGCGUAAAGCGAGCGCAGGCGGUCAAUUAAGUCUGAUGUGAAAGCCCCCGGCUCAACCGGGGAGGGUCAUUGGAAACUGGUUGACUUGAGUGCAGAAGAGGAGAGUGGAAUUCCAUGUGUAGCGGUGAAAUGCGUAGAUAUAUGGAGGAACACCAGUGGCGAAGGCGACUCUCUGGUCUGUAACUGACGCUGAGGCUCGAAAGCGUGGGUAGCAAACAGG